rnacentral:rRNA from 1 species
GAUUGCCUCAGUAACGGCGAGUGAAGCGGCAAAAGCUCAAAUUUUAAAGCUGGCACCUCCGGUGUCCGCGUUGUAAUUUUGUGAGGCAUCUCCGGGUAGGGCGCCGGCCUAAGUUCCUUGGAACAGGACGUCAUAGAGGGUGAGAAUCCCGUGCUUGGCUGGCUGUCCCCGUCCAUGUGAGGUGUCUUCGACGAGUCGAGUUGUUUGGGAAUGCAGCUCAAAAUGGGUGGUAAAUUUCAUCUAAAGCUAAAUAUUGGUGGGAGACCGAUAGCGCACAAGUAGAGUGAUCGAAAGAUGAAAAGCACUUUGAAAAUAGAGUUAAAAAGUACGUGAAAUUGUUGAAAGGGAAGCGCUUGAGACCAGACUUCGGUGGGGAGUGAUCAGCCGUCCUUCUGGGCGGUGCACUUGCUCCCCUCCGGGCCAGCAUCGGUUGGGACGGCGGGAUAAAGGUCCCGGGAAUGUGGCUCCUUUCGGGGAGUGUUAUAGCCCGGGAUGAAAUGCCGCCAGCUCCGACCGAGGACCGCGCCUUCGGGCUAGGAUG